ACACAUGCAAGUCGAGGGGCAGCGAGGGAGUGGCAACACUUCUGUCGGCGACCGGCGCACGGGUGAGUAACGCGUAUGCAACCUGCCCUUCACAGGGGGAUAACCGGGAGAAAUUCCGACUAAUACCGCAUACGUCCUCCGGGGGCAUCCCCGGGGGAUGAAAGAGUUAUCGGUGAAGGAUGGGCAUGCGUGAUAUUAGGUAGUUGGCGGGGCAACGGCCCACCAAGCCCACGAUAUCUAGGGGUUCUGAGAGGAAGGUCCCCCACAUUGGUACUGAGACACGGACCAAACUCCUACGGGAGGCAGCAGUGAGGAAUAUUGGUCAAUGGACGAGAGUCUGAACCAGCCAAGUCGCGCGAAGGAAGACGGAUCUAUGGUUUGUAAACUUCUUUAGUGCGGGAACAAAGCGGCGUCGUGACGCCGGAUGAGUGUACCGCAAGAAUAAGCAUCGGCUAACUCCGUGCCAGCAGCCGCGGUAAUACGGAGGAUGCGAGCGUUAUCCGGAUUUAUUGGGUUUAAAGGGAGCGCAGGCUGCGAGGCAAGUCAGCGGUCAAAUGUCGGGGCUCAACCCCGGCCUGCCGUUGAAACUGUUUUGCUAGAGUUCGAGUGAGGUAUGCGGAAUGCGUUGUGUAGCGGUGAAAUGCAUAGAUAUGACGCAGAACUCCGAUUGCGAAGGCAGCAUACCAACUCGCGACUGACGCUGAGGCUCGAAAGCGUGGGUAUCGAACAGGAUUAGAUACCCUGGUAGUCCACGCAGUAAACGAUGAAUACUAACUGUUCGGAGGGCGACCUCUGAGUGGUAAAGCGAAAGCGUUAAGUAUUCCACCUGGGGAGUACGCCGGCA
rnacentral:rRNA from 1 species